rnacentral:rRNA from 1 species
GACGAACGCUGGCGGCGUGCUUAACACAUGCAAGUCGAACGAAGAGCGAUGGAAGCUUGCUUCUAUCAAUCUUAGUGGCGAACGGGUGAGUAACGCGUAAUCAACCUGCCCUUCAGAGGGGGACAACAGUUGGAAACGACUGCUAAUGCCGCAUACGAUCUAAUCUCGGCAUCGAGGAUAGAUGAAAGGUGGCCUUUACAUGUAAGCUUUCACUGAAGGAGGGGAUUGCGUCUGAUUAGCUAGUUGGGGGGGUAAGGGCCUACCAAGGCGAUGAUCAGUAGCCCGUCUGAGAGGGUGAACUGCCCCAUCGGGACUGCGACCCGGCCCAGAAUCCUAAGGGGGGCAGCAGGGGGGAAUCUUCCGCAAUGGACGCAAGUCUGACCGAGCAACGCCGCGUGAGGGAUGACGGCCUUCGGGUUGUAAAGCUCUGUUAAUCGGGACGAAAGGCCUUCUUGCGAAUAGUGAGAAGGAUUGACGGUACCGGAAUAGAAAGCCACGGCUAACUACGUG